rnacentral:pre_miRNA from 8 species
ACUAUCUCCUGCUCCGUCAUCCCAGUGUUCAGACUACCUGUUCAGGAUCAUACUGGUGUACAGUAGUCUGCACAUUGGUUAGACUGUGCAUGGACUCCCG